UUUUUACAGAUUUCACAGUCAGAGAUAAUUUUCGCCACUCUACUAGCAUCCCUUUAAUUUGUCCUAACACAGUUUUUGUCACCAACGAUGACGUUCCUUCUUCAGUUUUGACUUCGAUCCAUCCUUCUGCAUGACGCUUCUGCAAAAAUUACUUACCACAGCAUUUCGUAUGUACCAUGUAAAGAUUUUUAUUAUUAAUUCUUUAUUUUUAGGUGUACCAUUCCUAGCAAAACCUAUUAUACGGGAGAGGGAUUUUAGUUGGUAGGUCCUCCUGUGAGGGAAUCCAACACUACCCAGUCGUACGGACGGCUGGGUGUCUUUCGAAGAUUUCCCCUCUUCCACAAAAAAAAAAAAAAAAAAAAAACUAAACGAUCUAAUGACUUUUAUUGCUGGUGUUCUCAGAUGGGCGGAAUAGCCAUUUAUUUCCACUACCCACUCGCUGGUAUUAAGUAAUUUGGAAUUGUUUACAACCCCUUUUCUUCAAUAUUGUUUCAGUGUUCGGCAUCAAUUUCUAUCUGAACACGUAAGUUGCUACAACUAUUUUUUACCUUCAUUAUUAAUUAUCUUGUGUUCAAAAUGUUAAUUGUACAUUAUUGAAAGGUUUUAGUUAAAAAUUGUUAAACUGUAUUACUGUUUCUUCUGUUUUGUGGCCUUUUCUAUUUCCUCAAUUGUCUCUUCAAAUUACAUAAAAUAUUUUAUUUUGUACAAGUGUAUUUGUUAACAUUCAAUAAAUUUUUUUUACUAUU